rnacentral:rRNA from 1 species
GACGAACGCUGGCGGCGUGCUUAACACAUGCAAGUGGAGCGACGAACCAGGCUUCGGCCUGGGGCAGAGCCGCGAACGGGUGAGUAACACGUGGGUAACCUGCCCUGAUGACUGGGACAACCCGGGGAAACCCGGGCUAAUACCGGAUGUGCUGCUCUCACAUCAGUGAGAGUAGGAAAGGAAGCUUCGGCCUCCGCAUCAGGAUGGGCCCGCGGCCCAUUAGCUUGNGGUGAGGUAACGGCUCACCAAGGCUUCGAUGGGUAGCUGGUCUGAGAGGACGAUCAGCCACACUGGGACUGAGACACGGCCCAGACUCCUACGGGAGGCAGCAGUGGGGAAUCUUGCGCAAUGCGCGAAAGCGUGACGCAGCAACGCCGCGUGGGGGAAGACGGCCU